GUUGUGGCUUAGUGGUAGAGCACUUGCCUCACAUGUAUGAAUUCCUAGUUUCGAUCCCCAGCACGACG
rnacentral:tRNA from 1 species